CUACGGGCGGCACCAGUGGGGAAUAUUGGACAAUGGACCAAAAGUCUGAUCCAGCAAUUCUGUGUGCACGAUGACGGUCUUCGGAUUGUAAAGUGCUUUCAGUUGGGAAGAAAAAAAUGACGGUACCAACAGAAGAAGCGACGGCUAAAUACGUGCCAGCAGCCGCGGUAAUACGUAUGUCGCAAGCGUUAUCCGGAUUUAUUGGGCGUAAAGCGCGUCUAGGUGGUUUGAUAAGUCUGAUGUGAAAAUGCGGGGCUCAACUCCGUAUUGCGUUGGAAACUGUCAAACUAGAGUAUCGGAGAGGUGGGCGGAACUACAAGUGUAGAGGUGAAAUUCGUAGAUAUUUGUAGGAAUGCCGAUAGAGAAGUCAGCUCACUGGACGAAUACUGACACUGAAGCGCGAAAGCAUGGGGAGCAAACAGGAUUAGAUACCCGCGUAGUC
rnacentral:rRNA from 1 species